ACUACGGGUGGCAGCAGUGGGGAAUAUUGGGCAAUGGGCGCAAGCCUGACCCAGCAACGCCGCGUGAAGGAAGAAGGCUUUCGGGUUGUAAACUUCUUUUCUCAGGGACGAAGAAAGUGACGGUACCUGAGGAAUAAGCCACGGCUAACUACGUGCCAGCAGCCGCGGUAAUACGUAGGUGGCAAGCGUUAUCCGGAUUUAUUGGGUGUAAAGGGCGUGUAGGCGGGAGCGCAAGUCGGAUGUGAAAACUCAGGGCUCAACCCUGAGCCUGCAUUUGAAACUGUGUUUCUUGAGUGCUGGAGAGGCAAUCGGAAUUCCGUGUGUAGCGGUGAAAUGCGUAGAUAUACGGAGGAACACCAGUGGCGAAGGCGGAUUGCUGGACAGUAACUGACGCUGAGGCGCGAAAGCGUGGGGAGCAAACAGGAUUAGAUACCCGGGUAGUC
rnacentral:rRNA from 1 species